CCCCUGAGAAGCAGACGGAUCGGGGGGGUCAGUGUAGCAACGCCUGAGCUAAUCUUAACAGCCUGGGGGCGGAUGAAGCAGAGUUGCAAAGGCGAAAAGAAAUCAGAAAACAAAACACGCACACAUGCUGACAACCAGUCGGCCUCCCCGCUCAUCACAGCUGGACGGUUUGUUAGUGGGUGUGGUCGGGGCUGCAUCACCGAGGAGACACGUGCCAUGGCAACACUGUUACCUAAUAGGCUCCAUCACCAUGGCAACAGAAGCGAGGGUAACACAUCCUUGAGCUCUCCCAAUCUGGCUGUCGUGUCUUUCAUGCUUUGUUUGUCCGUCCGUCCGUCCGUCCGUCCGUCCUCUCUCGCUCGGCGUCAAAAGAUUUGAACACGCACAGCCAAACAUAUGCGUUUGCCGGCGAGCACACCAAGAUGUCAUGCCAGCAAGCUUAUGUCAAGUGUGACACUCUGCCAGCUAGCAAGGGCUACCAACAGACAUGUGCCGAAGAUAACGUUUACCUCCAAAUCGCUAUUCGGGAUCCAGUAACAAGUGUUCAUCUCGAAGUGAAUUUUCAGUUUCAGUUUCAGGCCUGUGCUCAGCGGAGGUGAGAGCGCUAUUUGGGCGCCGUGCUUUAUUCAUGGACUCACUGACAGGAGCAUAGCACACAUCAGUGUUUCCAUGGUAACAAAGUGCUGCACUUUCUGCGCAACAAAAAAAGGAUCGAGAUCAAGAUGCUGAGACCAAAUGCAAUUUCCUUUUCAACGCAUCCUGUUGAUAAUGAUUUUUCCCGUUCGGCCGCCUAAAUGUCAACUAAUUAACACUUGUACAGUUUGGGAUGACUUCUUGUUCUAUUUUAGGGCAUGUGAACCAUGUUUUGUCAUAAACUAAAAUAUUUUCUCAGAUUGGAUGAAGAGCACCUUCGGACCCUCUCGCACCCUUGACCACGAAUCUCAUCGGUGGGGAGGGGCACUUACUCAGGUGCAGAGCCGGCAACAAAUAUGCUAUGCUCCUGGUUGCUUUCCGCCUGACCUACUUGAGGACCAGAAAUAGCAGCACUCAGGUCUCUAUUUCCAAUCCUGUUUUGCUAUUUCAUUGCUCCCGCCGCCGCUGCGCUCAAGACGGCUACAAUGAACGAGGGGACCGUGGUGGAGGAAGGGAGUUACGUGAGGUUGACUUGAGCACCUCCCGUUCCCUGGUCUGCCUUCUCAGCAUCUGGAGCGAGGGAAUCCAAGAAGCAGUUCCCUGAUGCUUUGUUUUUACAAAUUAACACUAAUGGUCAGUCCCUAUGUGGGUCUGUUGUUUUCACAAAAUAUUGAAUAUUAAAAUGGCUUGCUCUUUAAUUGCUCAAUAAAGAUGCAACCCCCCCUGAAAAGUGAUGCUUUUGGAGAGAUUCCACUUUUUAAAUUUUUAAUUAAGAGUAUUAUAAAGAAAUAGCAUUAUUAUAAUUUUUACAGAAUUUAUGAACAACCUGGCCUAAAAUAUGGCCCUUGAACGUUAGCCUAUCCCUGUCAAUAUCGAUUGCGAGUUCCUGCUCACUAUUUCUUCAUUUUGUCCGAAGAGCACACAAUGCAACUUUAAUUUUUAAAAGAAAAAAAAGAGAAAAGAUAUAUAUUUAUCUGCAUGUGCUUUGAAGGAACAUUCUGCUCGUGUUUCAUCUUCCUCAGAUGUAUUUAUAUUCGCUGUGAUGUAACAACUGGGUCAGUGUUCAAAAUUUAAUGUGAGAAAAAUUUGACUUCUAAAAAUUCUUCAUCAAGCCAGUUGCUGGAUGUGAGGCGGGGAGUAAAAGAGGCACACAUCUUUGUAUAUUUGAUGAGAGAGCACAAGAAGAUUUGUUGCCUUCUCGUUCUGGAAUGUGUCAUAUUUUGCUCUUACGUGUCUCAAAGUCCUCCAACAGGAAAAAGUCGCCUGAAAAUCUGUGUGGGACUAAUUCCGCUCAUUUACAGGCCUGCUCGCGUAAUUGCAUCCGUCAGUGAUCCCAAUCCCGGUGUGCUAUAAUUACUUCCUAGUGGAAAGGGCCGCAGAACCAUGAAAUGACAUCAGAAACCUUCAGAAGCCGACAGAAGGAUAAAUGUUUCACAAUGACGUGUAAUCUCUAACAUACUGCCAGAAUGAAUCUUUGGGAGUCAAAGAGA